AUGGAAUUCAUGUUCUGGAAAGCAAAGGAACUGGAUCUACAACCAAGAAUCAACUACCCAGCAAAACUGACCAUAUUCUUACAGGGGAAGGUAUGGUCAUUUAACAAAAUAGAAGACUUCCAAGAAUUCCUAAAGAAAAGACCUGACUUAAACACUAAAUUUGAACCCCUAACACAGAACUCAAGAGAUUCAUUAAAAGUGGGAAUGGUCAGAAAGGUUGAAAUGGAAGGAAAAUAUCCAACUCCAAAUUCAAUCAUCAUCAACAUCAACAUCAUCAGUGUCAUCAACAAUGUCAUGAACAUAAUCAUCGACAACAAAAUCAUCAUCAUCAUCAACAUCAACAUCAUCAACAUCAUUAUCAACAACAUCAACAUCAACAUCAACAUCAUCAACCACAAUAUCAACAUCAACAACCUCAGUGACAACAUCAGCAACAUCUUCAUCAAUAACACAUCAACAACCUCAUCGAGGUCAUCAACAUUGACAUCAACAUCUAACUCUUCCUGGCUCAGGAAAGAUUUUUGCUGGGUGGCCUAAUCUAAUACUGAAUGAAUGCCAAAUGACCUAAACUCUAGGCUAGAAUGCCACUGUGUCCUUUGGGGGUAAAAAGAAAGCCUCAGUUUCCUCAUUUAUGUAUAAGUGAAGCUGACCUAGACUCUGCAUUAAGUUAAUCAAUUAAAUCAAAGAAUAAACCAAAUGUGCACAAGGGGAAAAAAAAACA
rnacentral:lncRNA from 1 species